rnacentral:rRNA from 1 species
GAUGAACGCUGGCUACAGGCUUAACACAUGCAAGUCGAGGGGAAACGACGGGGAAGCUUGCUUCCCCGGGCGUCGACCGGCGCACGGGUGAGUAACGCGUAUCCAACCUGCCUCUGACUGAGGGAUAACCCGUCGAAAGCCGGCCUAAUACCUCAUGGCAUCGUCUGCGGGCAUCCAACGACGAUUAAAGAUUUCAUCGGUCAGGGAUGGGGAUGCGUCUGAUUAGCUAGUUGGCGGGGUAACGGCCCACCAAGGCGACGAUCAGUAGGGGUUCUGAGAGGAAGGUCCCCCACAUUGGAACUGAGACACGGUCCAAACUCCUACGGGAGGCAGCAGUGAGGAAUAUUGGUCAAUGGGCGAGAGCCUGAACCAGCCAAGUAGCGUGCAGGAUGACGGCCCUAUGGGUUGUAAACUGCUUUUAUGCGGGGAUAAAGUGAGGGACGUGUCCUUCAUUGCAGGUACCGCAUGAAUAAGGACCGGCUAAUUCCGUG